rnacentral:rRNA from 1 species
AGCAUAUCAAUAAGCGGAGGAAAAGAAACCAACAGGGAUUGCCCUAGUAACGGCGAGUGAAGCGGCAACAGCUCAAAUUUGAAAUCUGGCUUCGGCCCGAGUUGUAAUUUGUAGAGGAAACUUUUGGUGAGGCACCUUCUGAGUCCCUUGGAACAGGGCGCCAUAGAGGGUGAGAGCCCCGUAUAGUCGGAUGCCGAUCCAAUGUAAAGUUCCUUCGACGAGUCGAGUAGUUUGGGAAUGCUGCUCAAAAUGGGAGGUAAAUUUCUUCUAAAGCUAAAUAUAGGCCAGAGACCGAUAGCGCACAAGUAGAGUGAUCGAAAGAUGAAAAGCACUUUGAAAAGAGGGUUAAAUAGCACGUGAAAUUGUUGAAAGGGAAGCGUUUGUGACCAGACUUGCGCCGUUCCGAUCAUCCGGUGUUCUCACCGGUGCACUCGGGGCGGCUCAGGCCAGCAUCGGUUUUGGUGGGGGGAUAAAGGUUCAGGGAACGUAGCUCCUCCGGGAGUGUUAUAGCCCUGGGCGUAAUGCCCUCGCUGGGACCGAGGUUCGCGCAUCUGCAAGGAUGCUGGCGUAAUGGUCAUCAACGACCCGUC